GACGAACCGUCCAAACGUUAUUCGGAAUCACUGGGCUUACAGAGUUCGUAGGCGGUCCGGUAAGUUAGGUGUGAAAUCCCCGGGCUCAACCCGGGAACUGCUUCUGAUACUGGCGUGCUUGAGGCCAGUAGGGGUCACUAGAACUGACGGUGGAGCGGUGAAAUGCGUAGAUAUCGUCAGGAAUGCCGGUGGUGAAGACGGGUGACUGGGCUGGUUCUGACACUGAGGCACGAAAGCGUGGGGAGCGAACGGG
rnacentral:rRNA from 1 species